AAGACUAUACUUUCAGGGAUCAUUUCUAUAGUUCGUUACUAGAGAAGUUUCUCUAGUAGAGCACCCGACUGCCAUAUGACCCAGCAAUCCCACUCCUGGG
rnacentral:snoRNA from 1 species